CCUGUGUUUCAGCGGAAGAUGAGGCUAGUGUGAACUUGGCCUUUACAUCCUUCUCCGCAGAGCACUGCAAGCAGCCAGUCCCACUGGAACAUAAGAUGAAGCUUUUGUUCCCAUGGCUGGAUACACUUUGGAUCUUGGAAUGCAAUAAUUACUUCAGCUGGAUCUGGUUCGUGGAGUACUUGGCCAGGGCUCUGCCUCAUGCCAUGGUCCUACAAGAUAUGUGAGGAGGUGGACAUCUUUGCGUAGCCCUCCUCCAGAGGCAAGUGGAUUCCUUCCAUAACCCAGAGAAGGCCGCUUGGGAAUGAGGCUGAGAAGCCAGACUUUUUGGCACACAAAGAAAAAGGGAGUUUUCAAAGUUGCCGCAAAUCAUGCAGGAAGAGAAAACAGGACAUUAGUGGACACUGAUUCUUCCCCUCUGCUGAACUCUGAGUCCAGUUUAAAUCUUUAAUAACAUAACACAUGGAGAAAAUUGCUUAUAUAAAAUGAUCACCUUUCUUUUAAAAAAAAAAAAUUAUAGAGACUGGGUCUUGCUCUAUUGCCCAUGCUGGAGUGCAGUGGCUUGAUCAUAGCUCACUGCAGCUUUGAACUGUUAGGCUCAUAUGAUCCCCAUGUCUCUGUCUCCUGAAUAGCUGGGACUACAGGUGGACACUACCAUGCCUAAUUUUUUAGUUUUUUUUUUUUUUGAGAUAGGAUCUUGCUAUGUUGCCCACGCUGGUCUUGAACUCCUGGUCUCAAGCAGUUAUUCUGCCUCAGCCUCCCAAAGUGCUGGGAUUACAGGCAUAAAACACCACACUCAGCCAGAAGAAAUUAUCAUCUUUCUAAAAUCAAACUUCUCUUAUAUUCUGGGAACCUACUGAGGAAGGCACAGAUUUAUCCUCUAGAUGCCAGAAGGCUAGAAUUGGGAAAGCUUCGAAGCUUAAACAGGGCAAAGCGUAGGUCAUAGAAGAAUGUAUUAUCUAUUGCUAUGCAACAAAUUACUCUAAAACUUUAAAAACACAAACAUUUAUUAUCUCUCAGUUUUUCUGGGUGAGAAUCUGGGUAUGGCUUUGCUUGCUGCUUCUGACUCAAGGUCUCUCACCUGUCAAGGCUGCAAUCAAAGUGUCGGCGGGGGCUGCAGUCUCAUCUGAAGGCUUGCCUGGGGAGAACACACUUCCAAGCUCACUGCCAUGGUGGAUGGAAAGCCUCAGGGGUACUGCAAUUGAGGGGAGAAAAUGGCCAACUUGAGCCAGGGUGCAAUGACAUCAAGAGGCCUGGGAGCUGAGGAGAAAAGACUAAGGAGCCUGAGGAAUGGAUGUGGGUCUGGAAGAGAGCUGGAAGAGUACAUGGUCCUGGGAGCCUCCUGGGGAAAGUGCUUUAAGUAGGAGGCAGAGACCAACUGGUUCCCAUGGUGCCAAUGAGUCAUGUGAGAUAAGGACUGAGAGUUGACAUUAGGAGUGGCAGUGGAGGGGCAUGUAGUGACUUUGACUAGAGCUAUUUCCAUGGGAUGAGGAGGGUGAGGGAAGCUGACUAGUGUGGGCUCAGUUUAUGCUGGAGGAGAGGACUGGGAGAAUAAUGCUCCUUCAUGUUCCUCAGUUAUGCUGUAAAGGGGAACGAGAAGCAGUAGCCGGAGAGGACUGGGGGAAGGGGCAUCUAGGUUUCAUCCAUGCAUCUGAUGGGAAUGAUCCUGCAAAGGGGAAAUGAACAAUGCAGGCGAGAGAAGCAAGCCCUGCUGGACACAUCCUUGAGUAGGCAGAAGCCAAUGUCUGGUGCAUAGGCAGAGGGCUGGCUUUAGGUGGGAAGGAUGGGUGGGAAGAUGAGCCGGCAUAGAAGGGGUAGAGGGGGCUUGCAGAAGCACUUUCUGAUGGUGUCUGUCUCUUCACUGAAAUGGGAAGCCAGGUUGUCAUUGUAGCCACCUCCCAGUGGGGCAAAGAGGAGGGAGUGAGAUGCCUCAUGAAAAGCAAUGCUUGGGGUCUGGUGUAGAGUAAUAACUCAGUAAAUCCAUUGUCUUCUUGCUUACCUCUAAGUUAUAGUGAUCACAUUUUCCAGACCAAAUAUCUGAACCUGGAAUCUGGCAGGUGCCUUAGGGGCCAAUGGGUGUGACUGAUUGAAAAAUCAGAAUGUCUCAGAAACACCUAGACUUUUAAUUUCCAAACAACAGACAUGAUAAGCAUCCAGGGCCUGUCAUGUAUAUUAUGGAACGUAAUGCCACUUUCUUUGGCCCUUUUCCAAAGCAGAUGAUAUCCCAGCACCAGGGAAAAUGGUUUCAAUAUCAAGUUGGGUCAGCAGCAUCUUUCUACCUAUUUCUGUCUUCGUGGUCUUUAUAUUUGAAAUAAUCAUUACUAUUUUAUGCAUUCUCUCCCCAUCCUGCAUUACAGAAGGAACGUUCCUAACAAAUGUUUUAUGUUUCAACUGCUAGGAGAUUGUAUUUUUGAAAUAAAAUUUUAGUUAUCCUUUCAUUUUUUGAUCCUGUAGAUACAUACAAAUUUAGAAACUCUGAAAGAACACCUUAAUUUAUAUUCUGUGCCUAUGUGGGUGAGGGAAGAAGAGGCUGUUUGGUAUAUAUUAUAUUUUUAGGUUUUUAAAUCUCUCUUCUUUUUUGCAAAUGUGAUGGAAUGUAACAUUUACCAGAAACUGAGAAUUCCCGAGGCAGUAGCCACAGCAGCAACAGUAACUCUAAGCUGGAGAUGGUCUGCUCUGGUGCCAGAGAGGCCAACCCUUGACUCUACUCUCUCGUGAUCAAUCAGCUGGAAAAUCACCAAUCCAUGGUCCUCCCUUCCCAUAAGUCACAGUCUGAGUAUGGCGCCUGUGGCUGGAACCCUUACGCUCUCCUUUGGGGUGUCUGGGUACCACUCUGUCUGACCCAUGCUCCUGGGCAUUCUGGAAGUCGGGACUCUGCCUUCCUUACCUGUCUGUGCUUGGAACUCAGAGGAUCCUUGUUAUGUAGUAGGUGUAGUGGACAUUGGUCAGUAGGGAGGCCUAUCAUCUUUUUACAAGUGUUCUAGACGUUUUCCCAACCCCCCACUUUGUCAACCCUGCCUUUCACACUGACAUCUUUUCCCAGCCUGAUUUGGCACCUGCCCAUCAGACACCAUGUGAGUCUGUGGCUCAGAAUGGGGUCCGGGACGCACCACACAGGGUGGGCAUCCAUGUGGAGGAUGCAGGAACAGCAUGGUGGAGGCAGGGUGGCCUUGAGGGCAGUAAGGCCAGCUUUGCCAUUCUGUGGUUCGAGGCACAGCCCAGAGCUGAGUCCUUCAAUCCUCCCCGACAGAACUGUGAGAUUUCUCAAACUAAUCAAUAAAUCCCUUCCUGCUGAAACCAAAUUGAUUGGCUUCUGUUGGUUCCAACCAGGCCCCUGGCCAGUGCCAUGGAUGUCUAC
rnacentral:lncRNA from 1 species